rnacentral:tRNA from 1 species
GGGGGCGGAUGGUGCCUGGUGGUGCUCGCGGGCUUCAAACCCGUUGCGGGGCAUUGAGAGAUGUCCUGGGUGAGUUCGAUUCUCACACGCCCUCGCCA